AAUUAUCGAAAAGAUUAUAAAGGUAACACUAGCAAAAUACUUCCCUCUGUAAAACCUAUUAAAGGAUCUGGCUUAAAAAAAUAAUCUCUCCAAGAAUAAUAUGCUGUUUUGAAUUUUAGGGAGUUCUUAAAUACAUAUUCUCAUAUCAUUUGCAGUUUCCAGAACCUAGGGAGGACAGCUAACAAUCUAAUAGCAAUGUUGAGUGAUAAACAAUUGGAAUUGUAUAAGCAAAAGCUUUCUAUUUAUAAGCAUGUUACUUGCAGAGAGGCUUACAAUGUUACAGUGAAUAUGAACCCAAUGAAUAAGCAUGGAUCACAAACAUGGCUUGUGGAUGAAUCGUUUCAAUACCAGAAGAGAAGUAAUGGAGUGAGAGUGUGCACAACAGGAAGACAGUCUUCUUAGUUCGUAAGGACAGCCCAGGUUAUGAUAUGUGAGUCGUUACAUAUUGCAGAUAAACGUGAGCAGUUAGGACAUUCCACAGCACACGUCCACGGAGCUGGAAAAGACGACAAGUGGCCUAGACACUAGCACAACAGCCUGCUUUCGGAGCGUGUGCACUGCGUCAGAGACCAGGCAAUACACAAAAUGACUCGCUUUUGACCAGUUUGUAAAAGCUGGUCCUUCGGAAGCAAAAGAGGUAUUUUAGAACAUUUUCAAGGUGAGUACGAUGGUGCAUACCAGCCUACAGGAGGCCGAGGAUUUCAUUCUGGAUGUGAUUCUGUUAACAUGCCAGUCCAAGCCCAGAUCACUCAGGGGUUUCCGAUGUAACUGGUAUCAGGACUGAUCAUGGUCACAGUAAACACAGCCUCAUGGUCCUGAUGAUGGCAGUGGUGGGGAGAGCUGUGUAUACCGGUCAUCCUUCACACAGCUCAGGAGUCUGUAAACACAG
rnacentral:lncRNA from 1 species